rnacentral:rRNA from 1 species
GAUGAACGCUGGCGGCGUGCCUAAUACAUGCAAGUCGAGCGAACGGACGAGAAGCUUGCUUCUCUGAUGUUAGCGGCGGACGGGUGAGUAACACGUGGAUAACCUACCUAUAAGACUGGGAUAACUUCGGGAAACCGGAGCUAAUACCGGAUAAUAUUUUGAACCGCAUGGUUCAAAAGUGAAAGACGGUCUUGCUGUCACUUAUAGAUGGAUCCGCGCUGCAUUAGCUAGUUGGUAAGGUAACGGCUUACCAAGGCAACGAUGCGUAGCCGACCUGAGAGGGUGAUCGGACACACUGGAACUGAGACACGGUCCAGACUCCUACGGGAGGCAGCAGUAGGGAAUCUUCCGCAAUGGGCGAAAGCCUGACGGAGCAACGCCGCGUGAGUGAUGAAGGUCUUCGGAUCGUAAAACUCUGUUAUUAGGGAAGAACAUAUGUGUAAGUAACUGUGCACAUCUUGACGGUACCUAAUCAGAAAGCCACGGCUAACUACGUG